GACGAACGCUGGCGGCGUGCUUAACACAUGCAAGUCGAACGAAGCUUGAUUACGGAUUCUUCGGAUGAAGUAUGAUAUGACUGAGUGGCGGACGGGUGAGUAACGCGUGAGUAACCUGCCCUUCAGAGGGGGAUAGAGUUUGGAAACGAACGGUAAUACCGCAUAAUGUAUUUUGACCGCAUGAUCGAAAUACCAAAGAUUUAUCGCUGAAGGAUGGACUCGCGUCUGAUUAGGUAGUUGGUGGGGUAACGGCCUACCAAGCCGACGAUCAGUAGCCGGACUGAGAGGUUGAUCGGCCACAUUGGGACUGAGACACGGCCCAGACUCCUACGGGAGGCAGCAGUGGGGAAUAUUGCACAAUGGGCGCAAGCCUGAUGCAGCAACGCCGCGUGAAGGAAGACGGUUUUCGGAUUGUAAACUUCUGUUCUUAGUGAAGAAUAAUGACGGUAGCUAAGGAGCAAGCCACGGCUAACUACGUG
rnacentral:rRNA from 1 species